GCCAAAUUACUGUGCACAGAGAAAUGAUUGCUGUCGGAGGACUAUUCUUUCCAUCGCGCUCUUUCUUUCUCUCGCGCCUCUGCUUUCUGAAAUGUUCAGGCCUCAGUGGGCAAAUUAUACACUUUGUGGUGCUCUGAAAGAACAGCUGCGGAACGGAUCUGCUGAGGAAAGGCCAGCCUAUCUGCUCCAAUGGAAGUGGAUAUCAUGUAAUGUGGGAAUAAUUACUUUGAUCGUGUCUAUGGGAGAGAAUUAGAAACCGUCUGUUAAAAACAAUUGACAUUACAGUAUGAUGAAUCAGAAACUAUGUUGAACUCACUAACCAAACAUGAACACUUGGAGUUGAAAUGGACUUGAACAAAAACACCAGAAUAGAGCAUUUCUGUUUGCUGUACGCCAUUAUAAUACCCCAGUAGGUGAAGGGUGCAUGAAUCAAAUAGCCUUUAGAGAUUCGCAUAUAAUACUCCAUAAGUCAAAUAAAGUUUUGAAAAAAAAACAUUAAGGAGCGUCAAAGGGAACAUGGUCAUAUCCAGAAUCGCAUACGCAAGAUACCAUUGCUUUGACCGCUACUUGAAAUUAACUUGACAUCUUUAUGGAAGAAAGGAGCGCUGACGCUCUGAGUUUGUCUACAAUAGAUUUCCACAACAUCCACUAGUGUCAUUGGCCCGAAGCACAAUGAUUACAUUGUCAGGAGGGACACUGGAGAAAGAGAGCUUAUCAGGACGUUAUGGGUGAGCAGGCACGAACAAGUCAGACGGACCUUUCACCUCAACUGAAUAGAGUGGGAGCCCUGUCUCCGUCCAGACUGACUGACGUCGCGCUAUCUGACCGCGAUCAGCAGACUCCAGGAAUCAACUAACCUUAGUGAGACACUCCAGUUCACCAACCACUCACACAGCUCCAUUAGACACCUACACCACCCGAUGCUACAGGAAGGCCAUAAAGAUCAUCAAGGACAUCAACCACCCGAGCCACUGCCUGUUCACCCCGCUGUCAUCCAGAAGGCGAGGCAACCACACGUACCUACGGGGGAAGAAUGGCCAGCCACACAGGAUGGUGAUUUUUACUAAGGAGGAGAAGGAGGCCGUGCUGACCGAGAUGCAUGCUGGCCACUUCGGAGGGAAGCCAUGGUGACCAAAAUCAGCCUACGCUUCUUCUCAUGGGGAAUUGUCAAGGGGGUGGACAGCUGGGCAAGUGAAAUAAGCUUUUGUUUAUCAAUCUCAUUAUUUAUCAAUCUCUGUCAUAUAUGAAAUUAUUAUGAUUUCAAUGAAUGUCAUAUCAGAGAGCAUGCAAUCUCUCAAUUUGUCACUUUUUGCUUAAAGGUCAGUACCCUGUCUAACCUGCUAGAAGUUUGAAAGUGUGAAGACUGUGUCCCCGGAGUUGAAGCCCAUCAAAGUUGUUUCACCAUGGCAUAUGAUUGGUGUAGUGUCCCAAUUCAAAUUUUGCCCUGAUAAGUUGUUUUGUAAUGGUUGCUUUAUUCGACCACAGCAGAG
ensembl:lncRNA